rnacentral:rRNA from 1 species
UUGAUCCCUGGCUCAGAACGAACGCUGGCGGCAGGCUUAACACAUGCAAGUCGAGCGCCCCGCAAGGGGAGCGGCAGACGGGUGAGUAACGCGUGGGAAUCUACCCUUUUCUACGGAACAACUGAGGGAAACUUCAGCUAAUACCGUAUACGGCCGAGAGGCGAAAGAUUUAUCGGAGAAGGAUGAGCCCGCGUUGGAUUAGCUAGUUGGUGGGGUAAAGGCCUACCAAGGCGACGAUCCAUAGCUGGUCUGAGAGGAUGAUCAGCCACACUGGGACUGAGACACGGCCCAGACUCCUACGGGAGGCAGCAGUGGGGAAUAUUGGACAAUGGGCGCAAGCCUGAUCCAGCCAUGCCGCGUGUGUGAUGAAGGUCUUAGGAUUGUAAAGCACUUUCACCGGAGAAGAUAAUGACGGUAUCCGGAGAAGAAGCCCCGGCUA